AGCAGCCGCGGUAAUUCCAGCUCCAAUAGCGUAUAUUAAAGUUGUUGCAGUUAAAAAGCUCGUAGUUGAAUUUCGGGGUUCUACCAUUGGUCGGGCAAUAGUCUGUACUGGUGUGUGGAAUUUCUACCUUCUGGGGAACCAUCAUGUUAUUAAUUUAGCGUGGUGGGAAACCAGGACCUUUACCUUGAAAAAAUUAGAGUGUUCAAAGCAGGCUUA
rnacentral:rRNA from 1 species